GCGAUCACCAUUGCUGCAAAAUUAGGAUAUUGGAAUCACGAUGGACGCUGUCUCCCUUGCGUGAUGCCCCCGCCAAACACUCGCUUAAAGCAGAGCAUAUAAAACAAGAUAAAGCCACCUAAUCCCGUCCUUCGCGCGUCCCAUUCGAGCGUUUUCAGUAUUCUCUCCAAUAGCGCAGAGACAAAAAGAAGUGACGCAGCCGACUGACUUUUGGAUUGUACCCAUUUGAAAAAUGCACAGCAAUUGAUUUGUUGAAGGCUGGUGCUACUGUGAUUUUGCGCAAUGCAAAGAUGGAUAUGUUCAAGGGUUCAAUGAGGCUAGCAGUUGAUAAAUGGGGCCGUGUCGAAGUCACAGAACCUGCAGAUUUCACAGUAAAGGAGGACUGUCUCUCCAUGAUUGAAUAUGAGCUGGUAAAUGUUGCGGACGAGUAGUUGAUAUCCGAUUGCAGCAUCGUCAUACUUUAAGAAUUUCUUAGGUUGUUAUAGUCAGUUUCUUAUUAUAGUUUCCUGAUAUAUCUACUUUUAUGUCCGAGAUUCUACUUUUGACAAUGAUGGAGUGGGAAGGUUUCUAAUUUCCAGGGUCUAGAUUUGGAUUUUACUACUGAAUCCUUCCUUCUAUACAUCACUCUGCAUUAUGAUCGAUGCUGUAUAAUGCUAGCCCGAAUUUUCAUGCUCAAUAUCAACGUGGUAAAUACAUUUCUGUGA